CUAUCAUGCCAAGUGGAUAUUACUCGGGUUGAAAGUUGUUCACAAAAACGUAGUUCACUUGAAAAAUCAAACUUAGUUCACUGGUCAAAAUUGUCGAUGACGUCGAGAGAAAAAUAGCGAAUCCGAAAUUGGGAGCUAGUCCUAGUUACAAGCGGCUUCCGUGCUCAGAAACGCUACGCAAAACAAUCCUUGCUAAUCUUCAAAAACUGUGCAAUACUUUUUCCUAAGUUUCUGUGAAGAGAGAAGUAAUGUAAGGAAGAAAGGGAAAAUCCGAUGGCUACGUUGGUUAUGAUCGAUAGUACGCUGAGAAAUUUCACGUUGAAAAUUCUACUACUUCAACUAGGGCGCUAAUCCUGAUUACAAACGACUUGGAAACGCUACUAUCAGUAUCAAUGUGCAAUACA